GACUCUGCUGCUCCAUGAAAUUUUAGGACUUAUUGCUAUUGUUGAAUCAGGUGACUAAUUUCAGGGAUCUAAAAAGGCCUUAUGAUCCAUCAUCUUUUCCUUCAUCUGCCCACAAUCCCCCAGCAUUGGCCAACAUGGCAAACUCCCAUCUGAGUACCUUGGAACUUAAUCAGUGUGGGGCAGAGAACCUGGAACGGAUAGGCUGUCCGGGGACAGUGACAGGACGGCUGAGGGGAGAGAAAGGAGACAGGCCAGCUGUUUCCUGACGCCCUUGCUCAGUACAAGCACUGAACCUGAGAUCUCGGUAGGUUUGUAUGGAUCUGCAGAGAUCGCCCUAGGUUGGGUUGCUAUGGGAGCAGGUCUUUAACUGGAGGAGUUCUGAGAACGUUUUACCCUCUCUGGAACCAUGAGGAAAUUCUGGAGGGCAGACACGUUCUGUCUCUAGCUUAGCUCUCACUCCUUAAGGUGGGUCUGCCACCGCUGAGGUGCCCCCUUGGGUGGUCUGUGAGACUCCUGCAACAGCUCUGCACGACUUCUGGGGUCCACAGUCCAGGACAGAUGUGAAGUUUUGGCAUCAACAUAUUCUUGGGAGGCUGCGUCGUCCUAUCACAGUGAAGAAAGAAUUAUUUCGCCUCUAUGUUCCCUACAAAGUGUGGGAACUUUGUAAAGUGUGAUUCCGGGGAAAGUGCUCACAACCCUUGAAGGCCAUAUGACCAGCGAUGGAGAGCCAUGUAUGGAUUUGCCUCCGGUUUGUCUUCUCCUGAGGAAGUGGAUGCCAUGUGUCACUUUGCAGAUGGAUCAAGUGCAGGAGGUAUCCAGUUUCCAGGCAGGUUGCAUGGGAGAGAGGCAGGUGUGUGUGUGCAUGCAGAGGAAAGAGAACAAAGCCCGAGGGAUCCAACUUCCAGGAAAUCUCUGUUGCGCUGGUGCAAAGGAAAAAUAACCCCUGCUCUCCUCUCAACUUAAAAAAAUUUUCUGUUUGGUUUUGGUUUACAGAAGUCUAAAUAUUAAGCAGUUUCGUGGUGAUAAUGAUGCAGCCACAUUUUAGAUAAAUUCUUUGAACUUUUUAAAGCCCUUUGUGUUUUCCUAAUAGUUACUCAUAGAAGGGCUGGGAUAGGAAAAAUGCAGGCAGGCCAGCGCCUGCUCCUGAAUGCCCGUUUGAGCAAUCGUAUACCCUACAAAUUCAGCUCGUCACUUUUUUUUCCUGGUGGUGGCAGCAAGAAGUUGGACGGGUUUCUGGGUACAUCUCGUCCUGUG
rnacentral:lncRNA from 1 species